GGUAGAGAAAUAGAGGUGGAAGAGAGCAUGAUUGAGCGCCUACCAUCAACAGAUGUGGAGCGUCCACAAUAUCGGGAUUCUAGUGUUGUCAUACAGAUUGCUUUGCAGCAGUCAAUGGAAGAUCCUAUAAGUUCUACAAAAGAGCAGAAGGAAGCAUCUGAGAAUGGAGAUGUUGGGGGAGAUAAAAAGGAGUUUCUCUGUUUCAGUAGUGCCUGCGAAGAUGAGUUAGCC
rnacentral:misc_RNA from 1 species